rnacentral:lncRNA from 10 species
CCCACAGCCUAGGCUGGCUGCCUGAGAGUAGCGAGUGACAGGUAAGGGCUCUGAACCUUCCUGCGUGCUACCCAAGGAGUGCCUAGGGCUACCAGGAGGCCCAGGGAGGAACCUUGAGACCUGAGAAAGGCUUUUCUUCCCCGAGAGGACCACUGCUCAGGCUCAGAGGCCAUGGGGUGAAGUGCACAAAAAAGUGGGCGUCCAGCCAUGCUCUAAGUCCCCCGAAGAUGAAGACCAGGGAGCAGCUUCCUCCAAUGAAGCAGCAGCAAUCAGAGGACCAGGAGGCUGAAGCCCUGAGCCCAGCCAGAGGCAGGAUCAGCCAAGUCUGGGACAGGCUUCAAUUAUUUUAGGCAGAGCUUCUGGUUCCUGGGCCUUCAGACUUGGACUAGAACUUCACUACCAGCUUUCCUGGGUCUCCAGCUUGCAGAGAGCAGAUCGCAGAACUUCUUAGCCUCCAUAAUCACAAGAACGUGUUUGCUUCCCCUUCCACCAUGAUUGUAAGUUUCCUGAGGCCUCCCCAGUCCUGCAGAACUGCUUUGAAGAAGACCACUGCGUCGGUAUUUGUGAAAUGUUUUGAGCCUCUGGAUUUAAAUAAGAUGGAAAACCAAAGCUCAGGGAGUUUUACAUGGGCAGGCAGCUGGUGAGGGCUGAGACUGGAGCCAGGCCAGUGGUCUUCAAAGGCUUUAGUCAAACUUUUUGACAGAUAUAAGAAAACCGAACUAAGGAAAAUACUUUCCUGGGAUCAUCCCUAUAUGAAGUGGCAGACCUGGAAUUGCUCCCUGUUUCAAAACAUGUUGGCACCGCUUCUGUUGCUUCCAGGAAGAUUGCAUACACAUGUAAAACCGGAAAAACGUUAAUGAAGAGAAAAACUAAAAG